GAAAGGAGAGCCAUCCUGAAGGCUGUUGUGAGCAGUAGCUGAGCGAGCGGCGGAUUACGGCACUGGUCUACUGCAAGGAACGGCGACUUCCUUUUCUUGCUGGUUAUUCCGCCCAGGAGGAAUUCCAACUCUCAACAAUGCCAUGGACUAACCUGAGCCGGUGGCACUCCUGUAUGCUACUAUCGCAACCGCUCCCCAGCACCUCCAGAGUCCUCGGACGCCUGCUGGGCCUGAACAUGAUGGUAGUGACGCUUUCUAGCCAUAGCGACCAGGUCAGAAGACUUCCUUGUCGACAACGAUGCUUGCCUGAAAUGGCCGUCAGUCACCCACGAGGUCGUCCGGCUAGAUUACCGUUCGGAGCUCUUGGCUAACUCUCCUUCCGGUGACAUCUUUCACUUGCCAGACGUUUGGGGGCCGGCUCAUCCAGGGGACAUUAGCAGUCAUGGAAUUCCAGACCCCUGGACAGUACCGUGGACAAACAUGCGGCACAGAACCUACCACAGCAGAUGGCUUCCUCCGUACGCUGUCGCAAUAGCUCUGCAGCACCUCCACCGUUCUGACACCCACUGCCCCUGAACGUGACGAUCCCGACGCUUUCCAGCCAGUGACCGAAAUGUACGUAGGGUGCUGUCCGCACCGCGGUGUGACACCUUACACUUGCCAGACAUUUGAAAAGACAUGCAGUCUUCCUUUUCUACUGCGAAGGAACCUGAAGCUUGUUCUGCCGUAGCUCUGGUGGCUGGCAGCGGACAGGUUACGAAGCAGUGGUCUCCCACAGGAAACGGCGGUGUAUGCAAAUAAACUGUUGGUUUA